rnacentral:rRNA from 1 species
UACGGAGGGUGCGAGCGUUGUCCGGAAUCAUUGGGCGUAAAGGGCGCGUAGGUGGCCCGGUCAGUCUUUGGUGAAAGCGCGGGGCUCAACCCUGCGUCGGCCAGGGAUACUGCCGCGGCUCGAGCACUGUAGAGGCAGGCGGAAUUCCGGGUGUAGCGGUGGAAUGCGUAGAGAUCCGGAGGAACACCGGUGGCGAAGGCGGGUCUCUGGGCCGAUACUGACGCUGAGGAGCGAAAGCGUGGGGAGCGAACAGG